UCCCUGGCGGUUCAGUGGUUAGGAGGCAGCACUUUCACUGCUGGGACGCAGGUUCAAUCCCUGACUGGGGAA
rnacentral:tRNA from 1 species